AGAGUUUGAUCAUGGCUCAGGACGAACGCUGGCGGCGCGCCUAACACAUGCAAGUCGAACGGAGUUAAGAGGAGCUUGCUUUUCUUGACUUAGUGGCGAACGGGUGAGUAACGCGUGAGUAACCUGCCUCAGAGUGGGGGACAACAGUUGGAAACGACUGCUAAUACCGCAUAAGACCACGGGGUCGCAUGGCCCUGAGGUAAAAGGAUUUAUUCGCUUUGAGAUGGACUCGCGUCCAAUUAGCUAGUUGGUGAGGUAACGGCCCACCAAGGCGACGAUUGGUAGCCGGACUGAGAGGUUGAACGGCCACAUUGGGACUGAGACACGGCCCAGACUCCUACGGGAGGCAGCAGUGGGGGAUAUUGCACAAUGGGGGAAACCCUGAUGCAGCGACGCCGCGUGGAGGAAGAAGGUUUUCGGAUUGUAAACUCCUGUCGUAAGGGACGAUAAUGACGGUACCUUACAAGAAAGCCACGGCUAACUACGUGCCAGCAGCCGCGGUAAAACGUAGGUGGCAAGCGUUGUCCGGAAUUACUGGGUGUAAAGGGAGCGCAGGCGGACCGGCAAGUUGGAAGUGAAAACUAUGGGCUCAACCCAUAAACUGCUUUCAAAACUGCUGGCCUUGAGUAGUGCAGAGGUAGGCGGAAUUCCCGGUGUAGCGGUGGGAUGCGUAGAUAUCGGGAGGAACACCAGUGGCGAAGGCGGCCUACUGGGCACCAACUGACGCUGAGGCUCGAAAGUGUGGGUAGCAAACAGGAUUAGAUACCCUGGUAGUCCACACCGUAAACGAUGAUUACUAGGUGUUGGAGGAUUGACCCCUUCAGUGCCGCAGUUAACACAAUAAGUAAUCCACCUGGGGAG
rnacentral:rRNA from 1 species